CUUCUGAUUGACUAUCAGUUCACAUUCAGCCUCAUUCAGGAAGAUGAUCGUCACCACACAGCCAUCAACUUCAUCGCCAACCCCGAGCAGUCAAAUAAGAAUUUGGACAUUUCCAUCAAUGCCUCCAACAACUUUAACCUCAACAUCACCUGGUCUAUCGGCUCCACAGCCGGUACGAUAUCUGGAGAAGAGGUCCCGCUGGUCGCCAAGACUCACACUAAGGAAUAUCGGGAUAGUUUCUCCUGCGAGAAGUUCAACUUCAGAAGCAAUCCCAACAUCACGUUCUACGUCUACGUCAGCAACUUCUCCUGGCCCAUCAAGAUA